rnacentral:rRNA from 1 species
AUUGAACGCUGGCGGCAGGCUUACCACAUGCAAGUCGAGCGAGAGGAGGACGGGUGAGUAAUGUCUGUAAAACUGCCUGAUUGAGGGAGGUAACUACUGGAACCGGUAGCUAAUACCGCCUACCAUCGGAUGUGCCCAGAUGGAAUUAGCUAGUAGGUGUGUGAACGUCUCACCUAGGCGACGAUACCUAGCUGGGCUGAGAGGAUGACCAGCCACACUGGAACUGAGACACGGUCCAGACUCCUACGGCAGGCAGCAGUGGGUAAGAUUGCACAAUGGGCGCAAGCCUGAUGCAGCCAUGCCGCGUGUAGGAAGAAGGCCUUCGGGUUGUAAAGUACUUUCAGCGGGGAGGCGUUACCCGCAGAAGAAGCACCGGCUAACUCCGUGCCAGCAGCCGCGGUAAUUC